UUUUUUUUUUUUUUUUUUUUUGUGGUUGUGAGAAGAAUAACAUGGUGUUUGGAGGAGGGUCAUAAUCCCACAUAAUUACGCAGUUAAUUGUGUCGAAACAAACAAAGCUGCUUUCCCUUUCUCCUUUACUUUUUGCCCUUUUCAUGCUAAUCUGUGCACACAAAUUUGAUUUAUAAAUUCCACGUCCUUCCGCUUUGAUUAGAUAGAGAUUCUAUCAAGAUCUAAAAUUGAAGGAUCAGAUAAUCUAAACUACUCAAAUUUAAUUCGAUGAUCACCAUUAACCUUUUUUUGUUGACCCACCUUGUACAAACAAGUACUCUGAUUUCUCAUUCACGUAAACUAGGACACCAAAUUUUUUGGUACUUAGGUCCGGACACUAGGUCCAGAAAAUAUCCAAAUUCGCUUUCCCCAGGUCAUUUCCUUGUAUGAUCAUAUCAAUGACAAUUGGGAUGUAUUCACAGUAUUUGAAGAUAAUUUUAUGAGGUGAUUUGAAGAUUAAUUUAUAAUUUCGUAUUUGUUUUGACGAUAAUGAUUUUGUCUCAAGUGCAUUUACAUAUUUUACAUAACACCUUUUCUUUUAUUACGGUUGCAAAAAUUAAUUAUUAUGUGAAAAUCAAAGACUUUUUUCAAGGCACUUCUCGACGAAAAAAUCGCUACUACACAAGUACGAUUUAAUCCACGAUUUUCUAACGUGGUGUUUAUCUUUGGUUGGUUGUGCCAAAAAAGCUCCAUGUGGAAUGAUAUAGGAGUGUAACCUGGACGACUUAGAUGGUCAACCUAAAUUUAAAGCAAUAUUCACAAUUUGGAUUUGCAUUGGGUUCGGGGCAUACUUGGAUUGGGUUUGAGUUUGCUCAAUUUUAUCGAGUUCAAUCUUUUAACACCUUAUAUUGUAAGAUUUUUCAACUUUUGAAGUGGAGAUCAUUUUUAAUUUUCAUCCAUGUGAAGCUAAAUAAAAUUACAAGAGAAAGCCAAAGUUUCAACAAAAAAAAACAUAAAAACAACAUUAUUAUUCAUUGUUCAAAAGAAAUCUAACAACAAACUUCAAGUAUAGCCAUCUCAAAACUUGUAUCUAACUCAUAUAAUAUAAAGUUGGAUGGGUAAUAUUCGCAUGAGCAAAUUUGGGAUAAAAUAGGGUUCGGUUUGAGUUGACAUGGGUGGGCAUCAACCCAAUCAAGUUGAAUAAUUGAUUUAUUAAGGUCAUGUUGAGUUUGGGUUGACAUGGGAGGGCAAGACAUCAACCCAAUCCAACUGAAUCAAUCAUCAGGUUGAGGUUGAGUUCUGUUUGGACGAGUUGUUACUUCAUUCUAACCAGCCAAAUCGGAUUUGAAAUCGUGUUGGGUAUGGACGGAUUUGGGUUGACCUAACCCAAGUGCACCCCUAGUAUGACAGGUUGAUUCUCAAUGCUCCACUUUUAUACCAUGCUUGGGCAUGAACUAUUUUAGAUUUUUUUAGAGGUCGAACCUCACUUAGUUUAGGUUUUUCUUCCUCAUUUAUAGGGAUGGACACGGUUUAAUUUAGUUUGCUUUAACUCCUAAAAUAUAGAAUUGAACCGAAUGUAUAUAGCUUAGUUUGGUCCAAUCAUUGAGAGGGGCAGAGAGGAAAACAUGGAGAGGUACAAGGGAUGACGAGAGGAAAAGGGAGAGAUUGGAAGAGGAGAAAGAGGUGGAAAAAGAGGAGAGGAAGAGGGGAGAUAGAAUUGGAUGGAGAGAGAGGACAAGAAAGAAGAACAUAAGAGAUCAUGUGCAACUAGAUCUACAAUUUCUUUGGAAUGUUUUAUAAGAAAAAAAAAGUGUAAAAGUAAACAAAAGAAAUUAUACAAUUGGUCCGAUUUGGUUUUUAGGUAGCAAAAUUGAGAAUUGUAUAAGACCAAAAGCUUUUCUUUUGGUUUGGAUAGGCUUAAUUACUCAUUGUGCUGAUUCAAAUGCACACAACUCGAACAAGAGCAAUGUUGAGGCGACUAAAUUUGUAGACAAAAUGAUAUAGAAGUUGAUGAUUUGAUUAUAACUUAAUUGUUGAUAAAUGUGUUCAUUUCCUAUUGGUGGCACAUUAUUUAGUUUGCAACUUUGUUUACAAAUUUAAUCUCCCUAACAUUAUUCCUCGAACAACGUUUGCCCCAUUUUGGCUAAAUCUACAAGUGACACGGGCAAGACGUUUUCUUUUACAAGAAGCGAUAGUAAUUUUCAUUAACACACAAUAACACAAUCACAAACACACGAUAACAUAGUUAUAUGGGUUGCCGUACGAGUACCUAUACAUAAAUGUAGAGAUAAUUUGCAAAAUUAGCAUAACAGUAAACUCCUAAUGGCCAUCACAAGAACAAGCAACUCCGUACCAGCACAAGCACUCCGGUACAAAUCCGUCACAAAGACACAGACACAGCAAGCCUAUACUAAGGCACAUGCAAUGUCAUUGUUGGCAAGCUAGACUAUAAAAAUCAUUACUGACGAGCGAGACCGCAAAAACCAUCGCUGCUAAGCAAGACUAUAUCACUCACUAAGUGAGACAUCACCGCUAAAGGUGGUACAUACGAAACAAACACUAAUCUGAGAACGGAGUUCACCAACGUCUCAUCUCCACUAGUUUGGUCCUCUCCACGUGAGAUGAUGAUGUAUCUGUAAGAUCUGCCGCUACCUCAAGCAAGGCGAAGCUGCCACAUAAGCUUUAAAAAGAGUUUUGGGUGGAGCUGAAUAGCUUUGGUGGGUUUGAUUAAAGUAUCACUUGAAGUUUGUAAUCGUAGAGAUUGAAUUUGAUGAAGGUCCUCAGCUUGGAGAUCUGUACCUCUAUAUUUAUAGGCGUUUAGAGAAGCAUUUUUGAUCUUAUCGCUGAGCUAGAGUGAGAGUAGAUCGGCCAUUGACAAUGACAAUAACUGCAUUUCAUGGUUGGUGGCCUCCUUUGCUUUUUUUGGCCCUCAUAAGAUGUUAUGUUGUCGUUUGAUGUAUAUGGUGACGCGUUCACCCAGUCAUUUAAGGAGUUGUGAGAUUUUCGGGCUUGGUUGCUUACGUGCAAGACGCUCUUCAGGAGAAGAUGAGUCCAAACCCCCAAAGGAUUGUCAUGUGCUGGGAAGGGGUCAUCCCGAGCCUUAGUGAGCCUACUCGAGUUGGGCUGUUGUUGGUGGGGCCGGUGCGCCUUUGCUUAAAUAAAAUUUGAUUGGCCAUAUAGUAGGUCUUAUUUUUAUUUAUGGAAAUAGAUCAUUUCCGAAUAUCUUCUUCUUAAUCCAUCAAAUUCGGAGAUCCAGACCAUUGAAAUUUGAUCCAACAGUUACAAAUAGAGGUCCACUUUAAAAGAUAUAAUAACUUUAGUCGUUUGAUCAAAUUUCAAUGGUCUGGAUCUCCGAACUUGGUAGAUUAAGAGGAAGGGAUCCGGAGAGGAUCCCUUUCCUUUAUUUAUGACCCAAACACGUUGACAUCUAUCUUGAGUGAAAAUAAAGAAAAAUAAAAAGUUGCUAAUGGGAGGCAUUGAAAAUGUUUGAAGGCAUCCGAAAUAUUCUGACUUUUAAAUGAAGCAUGCUAGUAAACCCAUUAUAGGUAGGAAAGCAUAAACAAGACCUCAUGCUAGUAUAUCACAGACUUGUGCUUUUCAAUGGCUGACGAAAUAUUUGCUAUUAAGAUAUAGAAUUUUAGAUGUUACUUAGUACUAUGGUCUAAUGAUAUUCCUCUUCACUUAUAAGUGAGAGGUUUUAGGUUCGAUUCUCGUCAAAGGUGAAUUUGAACCACAUUAUUAUUAGCACAUUGUGAGGCUAGCCCGCCGCCUCUUUUUUAGUGUAGAUAAUAUCAUUUGUUCAAAAAAUAUAUGUAUAGAAUUUCAAAUAAAUUUUUGUAUUUUAUAUAUUCAAAAAAUUAAUUUAAAAUGUCAAUUACAAGGUUUCAUUCCUAAAUCCUAAUUACACUGAGAUCUUUUAGGAUAAUACUUUACUCACGGUGUGCUAAAAGUUGAUCAAGUUCAGAAUAAUAUCUAUUUUAGAGCCCAUCUCACUGAAAUUUUGACAUAUCCAUACUUCUUUGGUGAUUUAAAUGAUAAUUAACUUAAAGCUCAGUAUUUCAAACUGAAUAAUAAAUAUAAUCAAAGAGAAAUGAAAGGGGGACUCUCUUAAAAUGAGACAUCUCCAUGAAAUCUCUGUCACCUCACAUGUUAACGUUAAUUCUCAUACCAACGUUAUAAAACAUUGUGACAACAUUAACAUUUCUCAUAAUCAAAUUAGCAAAAGCAUUAAGCAAUGUCUUACUUACCGGGGAAGUCAACAUGUUAAACCUCAUCUCUCUCAUCACAAAAUUCCCUUAGAUUCUAAAACUAGAUCUACACUAUUCAUUGACCUUGAAAAUGAUAGAAAUCCAAAUAAUUUUAUUUGAAAGUGACCUGGCUUUCUUCCUCAGUUAAAUCAUUACAAAGAUUUUGGAAAAAAAAAAAAAAAAACUAAACUAAACUAAUGAAGGGGAUAACGAAAAGACCAGAAGCCAAUGGUGUUUUGUGUUGACAUUAAGCUCAGCAGCCAAGGAGACAUUCCUAACAAAAAAGAGGAGUUUUUCUUCAAAACACACCAUGAUCGAUUUACGAAAUUUCAUACUUAUGAUCAAACGUUAAUAUUAUAAAUCACUUUAUAAAUUUUUUUUGUAAAAAUCUAAUAAAAUAUGAGAUCAUUUAGUCUCAAACUAUAUAAAAAUAAAUGGACAAAUUUAAUUAAAAUAUUAUAAACUAUCUAUCUAUUUACUAUAAGAAUUGAUUAAACGACUAUAGUUUUAAUUGAUUUUUUUGCAUAAAUAAUUUUUACAAAGUAAUUGAUAAUAUAAACGAUUUUAAUCAUAUGUGAGGAGUUCUAAACCCUAAGCCAAGUAUUCCUCUAUAUUUUUUUGCCACCAACCAUUUCUUCAACCUUUUAUUACCUUUUUGGGGAAUUGAACUUCAACCUUAAUAAAAAUUAGAAUGACAAAAUGUCUGUACAUAGUAAUGGAGGCAAACAGGUGCUACUUACGGGAGACAUUAUUAUAACCGCAUUGCAUGGUAUAUGAACUCAUUCCAUGGAUUCCUCCACACCAAGCGGGCUCAAAACCAGAUUGGAAUGGAUGACACAGUUUCAGCAAUUUAAAUAUUUGGUGUUUCGAGUAAUCCAUUAUAUAUUUUUACUUAUAAAGUAUUACUUUAGAGAGGUUUUAUUGUAUUAUAUAUAAUGCAGAUGACGUUUACCGCACCGGCAAAAAAGCAAUCAUGCAUAUGCAUCCUAAUGCGGGUUUCAUCUUCACCGAUUCCUCUUUCCCCGUAACAACUAACAACUAAUGUUAACCCUAAACCAUUAAUCCAAGGGUUCUAUGAUAUCAUAUUUGGGGUUUUGGUAGAUAUAAUAUUUGAGAGAAGUCCCAAAAGAUAGACGGUUCGGUGAAAUAACUUACGAAGUGAGCCCACAAAAACUUAUGUAAAAAGUAGUGUCGCGGAUUCAUCCCAUUAUAUAUAAUGAAUUUUGAGUCUUUCAGAAUAUUCAAUAUAUUGAAUCGUCUUAUUCAUAUUAGAUAUGUAUAUCAAUGCUUCUAAACCAAAAUUCUAUUGACUAUCAAAGUCAAAUUAGUUUAUCCAUAAUUAAGGUUAUUACACAUCUUUUGCAAGUGUUGAGGCUGUAAUGAUUUAGUUUAUUCAUAAACUAUACUUAUCCGGUCGUUGGUAUUAUUUAAUUAAUCAAAAGUCAUCCUAUUUAUUGAAUAAGUCUCUUAUAAUUAGGUUACAGAUCCAUUGCUGGGGUUCCCAUUGACUUGGUCAUCGUGGUUUAUUAACCAACGAUUCAUGUGUUGACCAAUUUGGAGAGAUGGAAAGAAUUAGAUGAAAUCAUCAGUCUCACUUAGGCUAAGCUGUACCAAGAAAUCCAAGUUUCGUGAUAUAUAUAUGUAUGUAUAUUCCACUAACUUACACCCUCAACUGUCAAAUAACUGAGAAUCAUUGACCCGAAAGGGUCCGAACAAUCCUUAAAAAAUAAGGUUUUUGGAACUGGAUCUAACUGCCUUAUGUCAAAAAAGCUCAUUGAGUGAUGGCUCAUGUAUAGAAGAAGAAGAAAUUUACUGUCAACAAACCCUAGCUUGAUUAUAGUGGUGUGGUGUGGGAUUAAUGGAUGCCAAGACUAAGAGUAAGUGGAGUCAGGUUGAUGGAUGUUAAGAGUAGAAAUAUACGUCCUCUUUUGGCUUCUACAAAAGGUUUAGUUGUCACAUAUAUAUUGUAUUUUUUAUGCCAAAUAGUUACAAAUUAUUAUUAUUUUUUUAAAUAAAAGGUGGCAUAUGUUUCAUUCAAAGCCAGGCAAAGGCUAGACAAUACAAGGAAAAGAGGCAUCGUCCUCAAGAAUGGAGUGUAAAACGACAAGUCGAUGUACAACAGUAUUUGUUUGGCGGCAGAAUGUGUAAGUUGUCUUCUAAUUUGGAGGAAGAAUAUGGAAGUUGUCUUCUAACAUUGAGGAUUGAGAUGGAGUAUUCUGAGCAAGUUGAUGCAAAGAACUUAUCCUCACUAAUCCCACCGUUUUCAAAGGGAGAAUAUGGUUCUUUAGAUCAUAUGAAAGAAGUAAAACCAUCGAUAUUGACGGAAAAUUUAAGGAUUUCAUUGCGGUUUGACUGAAUACAUUAGGAAUGUCAUUUUGUUUUCGAAUUGAAUGUAACAUGUCACAUUUCCAUGAACCUGCUUGGCAAACUUGGUGCAUUCUCAAGAAUGUACUUACCAACAUAAAAUAUAUUUCUCACUUAGUCUCAUACAAUUAAUUCGUGAAUAUAAGUAAAAUAAAAAUGCUACUCUUAUCAUAUUAAGGCUUUUUAGCUAAAAUAGUCAUUGAAAUUGACAUAACUUCUUAUUUUAGUCCAUAAGAUUUGAAAUCGAUAACAGUAAUCCAUGAGUUUGUCCAUCAUUUGAUGGUGAACAAAUUUAGAUACCACUUCUAUUAAUUUCAAAUCUCGAAACAAAAAUAAAGAAGUUACAAUAAUAUCAGAGAUUAUUUUAACUUAAAAAAAACUGUAUAUUUACCAUACUUUAUUUGUUUAAUUUCUCUAAUAAAGCAAGAUUCACAUAUAUUGUUUGGUCUUACCUCUGUUAUAAACUUCUCCAAAGAAACAAAAAGUACUGCACCUCCUGGAAUGCACGGUCAAAUGACAGGCGGGGGUGUCAGUAAGUGCAGGAAAAAAGUUCUUGAUUGUUCCUCAAAGUAUUAUCAAAUGCUUCUUUUCGUUCCUACUUCUGCGAUUCUCAAUCAUAUAGUGAUUGUUACGUUAAAAUGGACAACACAUGUCAAUGAUAUACAAUUUGUACAUUACGAGUUCACAGUCAUCGUGACAUCUCGUACUAAUAACACAAGAACAAGAGAAAAAAAGUUAACACAUAUUCUUAUAUUAUUACCAUGGGGCGCUACAUGUUUAUGCAUCUGUGUCAUGUAAGUCAUUUUUAAAUAAAUGCAUACUUUGUAUAAAACGGAUUUACCACUGUAAUUUUUGUUCAAUAAUAUAAUAUCAUGUUGAUAAAAACUUGCUCACAAUAUAAUUUUAUUAGAGUAGGAUAUCAUAGUGUGAAUCCGUUUAAUAUAAAUCUUCUUUGGAAGAGUACUUAGGGAUUAGUGUUGGCAUGAGAUGGUUGAAUGACCAAAACGUAGAACCUUGAGUAUUGGCUGACCUGAAACUUCUAGCGUCCAUUGAAGUCGAUGUGGAGAGUUAGAAGUCUGCAGGAAGCAACUUUGACCGCCAAUAGUCUUCUACAAUGCACUCACCCUUGUCAACUCACUCAAUGGAAAGUCUAUUAUACGUAAUCAGUGUUGGUGAAUAGUAUCAAGACGUUAAUAACAUUAACUUGCACUUUAAAACACAACAAUCAACGAAGUAAUUAUGUGAUUUCAUGUAAUCGUGGUAUUAGACCCUAAUUACAUUUUCAUGAUUUGUAGGAUAUUUUAAGGUUAAUUUAUGUUUGAAUUCAAAUCCAAUAAUUAGUAGAUAGAACUCUUUCUCAAGAAGCCAAUAACAACAUUAUAUUCUUAUCAAAAGCAAAAAGAAAAAGGAAAUUACUUUACAGGUCUUCAUUUCAACUCAAUAAUUUUGAUGCUGCCACAUGGAUGGGGAAGAACUAAAAAAACAAAAUAAAAUUUCAGACUCAAUUUAAAAAAAAAAAAAAACCUUGAUGCCAUGGCUAAUAUCUAGAAUAUCCGAUUUUUAAUAAAAAAUAAAUUAGUUAUGUAGGGAACACGAGUUGAAUAAGCAUGUAUAACUUGUGUGGCUGAGUAUUUCUCACCGACAGAUCUUAAACCCACUUCGGUGAAAAUUUUCUUGGUCAAAAACCAAUUAAAUUAACCAUGUGCACUUGUAUGCUAGCACUUAGGUUUGGCAAUUUCUUACGCUAUCUAUUAAUUCAACACAAAAUGAUAUGAAAAGAAUGAGUUUCGAGCCAAUUUGUGACUCGGAUUGUUAUUGGAUAAUCUGUUAAUGUGUCAGGUCGUUAUUGGGUUAUCCGUUAAGAACUCAAUAAGAUAUCGUUUGCCAGAUCUCUAGACAUUAGAUAUAACAAUUUCUUGCAUGAUCCAUUAACCCGAAACGACACGACCCAUUAACAUGUCGGGUUGUUAUUGGGUUACCUGUUAAGAACCCGUUAAUUUUACUGGGUUUGACACAACACGAUCCGUUAAAAUAAUAGAUAUGAUAAGAAAACGACAAACACGACCCGUUUGUCAGGCUUACUAGCACUAUGUGAUCAUGACUAUAACCAUAGCGAUUUUGGCAUUUUCAAUUUAGCUUGUUUUGAACCAAUAUAAUAAACUUAAGUUUACUAUUGGAAGUGCAAGUUGCCAAACGGGAGUGCCAAAAUUACCACGCAAUAGAAAUACAACUAUUUGUACCAUAUCAAUAAGGUACAAUGUUCUAAAAAUCCCCACCUAGUGUUGCCUAGGCGCUAGGCAGCUAGCCACCGUUUCGAUUAAUGUCUAGACGUUUAAAAAUUAAGAAAGGGUGCCUAGACCGCCUAGGCACUUGCCUAACCCGCCCAGACCCGUCUAGGUUGCGACUCACAUAAAAUAGAUAACUUUCAUUUUGCAUUUUUUUUCAAUCAAUUGUGAGAGACUUGUUGAAUACUUAAUUGAACACACAUUAUAUGUUUGUUCCCUAUAUUUUUAGUGUGUUCCAAUGCUUCAUAAUAUAUAUGUCGUUCUAUUUUGUAAUUUAUAAUGAAAUUAUAUUAUUUUAAGUAUAAACAAACACUUAUUUACACGAAAUAUAAUAGAUUUAAUUAAAUCCGCCUAGUUCGACUGGGCACAUUCCUUGGCCCCAUCUAGUCAUUAGGCCCCAACCUACCACCCAACUAAUGCUUAACGUCUUUUAGAACCUUGAUAAGAUAGUGUUGAAGAAAUACUUGUAGCUUUAUUUUCAUUGUUUUUAAGCCUUUUAUACUUUGUCGUCAAGCUGGUACCUUUUGCGCAAUUCAUUUCUGAUGUCCCAAAAUUCCUUUUCCUAAUUAGAAUUUAGAAGCCUUUACUUUCCAAUUUGUUUAUUCUUUUACACAUGUAAUAACCAACAUGAUUAGGGAAUAUAUUGCGCCCUUUCUUCUUUUUGACCUCUUUUGAUAAUCUUGUUUUUACUAGUCGAAUCAACCGGACUGUUCGAUUCACGUCAAAAAAAAGAGAGGUCCCUUUGCAUUUGAGUAACGAUAAAUUUUUCUUUUGCUGCAAAGUCUCCCAAAUUAAUCAACAAGAGUUGUAGAGAGACAUCCCUACCCCUCUUUCAUUAUUGAUGAUCAUCUCCAAAGCAAAACUAAUUAAGACCUCCCCUCCACUUGCAACCCACAAAACUGAGAGAUUUUCAAUAUGACUGAAUCACAGGACGGUACGUCAUAUGUUAUUAAACAAGUAGAGUGACAAGUUUUUCUCCAAAUACCCUUCAACUGGUGUAAUGACAUAUGAUUAUGUGGCCCUGUUCCAGACACAAUAAAAAGUCUGGCCACAAAACCAAAGCCAAAUGAUACAUGAUGAGCACCAAAGAAACAAUAAAAGCAAGAGAAUAGUUAAACAAGUUAAUAAUUGAAUCAGAUAAACAAAUAACAUUAAAAAAUUAAGAAAAAAAGAAAAGAAAAGAAGAAGCAAAGGCAAAGAAGAUUCUUGAUGUCAUUGUUUCUUGUUACAAUCACAAAUUUCUUUAUACCAAAUCCAAUGGCUGAGAUCUACAACCUUUCCAGUAGACCCCACCACACAUUAUUACAACCCUCCUCCCCCCAUGUUUCCAGAUCUACACCUUCCCCCAUAUUUUUCCUAACCAUUUUUAUCUUCUUCUUCUUCUUCUUCUAUAUGAAAUUAUAUAUGAUACAUCAAGGACAGCUGCAACAUUUUGGAUCCAAUUACACCCAGGACCACACACCCAAAUAACUUUAAAAAAAAGUCCAAAAAAAAAACAAGUAAAAACGGAAUUUAAUUCAACAAAAAAUUUAGACAAAAGGCCAUGUGAUCAGU
rnacentral:lncRNA from 1 species